UACGUGAGGGUGCGAGCGUUGUCCGGAAUUAUUGGGCGUAAAGGGCUCGUAGGCGGUUUGUCGCGUCGGGAGUGAAAACCUUGGGCUUAACUCAGGGCUUGCUUUCGAUACGGGCAGGACUAGAGGUAUGCAGGGGAGAACGGAAUUCCUGGUGUAGCGGUGAAAUGCGCAGAUAUCAGGAGGAACACCGGUGGCGAAGGCGGUUCUCUGGGCAUGAUCUGACGCUGAGGAGCGAAAGUGUGGGGAGCGAACAGG
rnacentral:rRNA from 1 species